AUUGAACGCUGGCGGCAGGCUUAACACACGCAAGUCGAGCGGAGUGAUGGUGCUUGCACUAUCACUUAGCGGCGGACGGGUGAGUAAUGCUUAGGAAUCUGCCAUUUAGUGGGGGACAACAUUCCGAAAGGAAUGCUAAUACCGCAUACGUCCUACGAGAGAAAGCAGGGGAUCUUCGGACCUUGCGCUAAAUGAUGAGCCUAAGUCGGAUUAGGUAGUUGGUGGGGUAAAGGCCUACCAAGGCGACGAUCUGUAGCGGGUCUGAGAGGAUGAUCCGCCACACUGGGACUGAGACACGGCCAAGACUCCUACGGGAGGCAGCAGUGGGGAAUAUUGGACAAUGGGCGGAAGCCGGAUCCAGCCAUGCCGCGUGUGUGAAGAAGGCCUUUUGGUUGUAAAGCACUUUAAGCGAGGAGGAGGCUCUCCUAGUUAAUACCUAGGAAGAGUGGACGUUACUCGCAGAAUAAGCACCGGCUAACUCUGUGCCAGCCGCCGCCGUAAUAC
rnacentral:rRNA from 1 species